UACAGAGGUGCUCAAGCGUUGUUCGGAUUCAUUGGGCGUAAAGGGUGCGUAGGCGGCGCGGUAAGUCGGGUGUGAAAUCUCGGAGCUUAACUCCGAAACUGCAUUCGAUACUGCCGUGCUUGAGGACUGGAGAGGAGACUGGAAUUUACGGUGUAGCGGUGAAAUGCGUAGAUAUCGUAAGGAAGACCAGUGGCGAAGGCGGGUCUCUGGGCGAGUAACUGACGCUGGAGGAGCGGAAAAGCUGGGGGAGCGAACGGG
rnacentral:rRNA from 1 species